rnacentral:sRNA from 1 species
AAAAGUCGUAACAAGGUUUCCGUAGGUGAACCUGCGGAAGGAUCAUUACCGAGUGAGGGCCCUCUGGGUCCAACCUCCCACCCGUGUUUAUCGUACCUUGUUGCUUCGGCGGGCCCGCCUCACGGCCGCCGGGGGGCAUCUGCCCCCGGGCCCGCGCCCGCCGAAGACACACAAACGAACUCUUGUCUGAAGAUUGCAGUCUGAGUACUUGACUAAAUCAGUUAAAACUUUCAACAACGGAUCUCUUGGUUCCGGCAUCGAUGAAGAACGCAGCGAAAUGCGAUAAGUAAUGUGAAUUGCAGAAUUCAGUGAAUCAUCGAGUCUUUGAACGCACAUUGCGCCCCCUGGUAUUCCGGGGGGCAUGCCUGUCCGAGCGUCAUUGCUGCCCUCAAGCACGGCUUGUGUGUUGGGCUCUCGCCCCCCGCUUCCGGGGGGCGGGCCCGAAAGGCAGCGGCGGCACCGCGUCCGGUCCUCGAGCGUAUGGGGCUUCGUCACCCGCUCUGUAGGCCCGGCCGGCGCCCGCCGGCGAACACCAUCAAUCUUAACCAGGUUGACCUCGGAUCAGGUAGGGAUACCCGCUGAACUUAAGCAUAUCAAAA